rnacentral:rRNA from 1 species
UAGAGUUUGAUCAUGGCUCAGAUUGAACGCUGGCGGCAGGCCUAACACAUGCAAGUCGAGCGGUAACACUUUCUAGCUUGCUAGAAGAUGACGAGCGGCGGACGGGUGAGUAAUGCUUGGGAACAUGCCUUUAGGUGGGGGACAACCAUUGGAAACGAUGGCCAAUACCGCAUAAUGUCUACGGACCAAAGGGGGCUUCGGCUCUCGCCUUUAGAUUGGCCCAAGUGGGAUUAGCUAGUUGGUGAGGUAAUGGCUCACCAAGGCGACGAUCCCUAGCUGGUUUGAGAGGAUGAUCAGCCACACUGGAACUGAGACACGGUCCAGACUCCUACGGGAGGCAGCAGUGGGGAAUAUUGCACAAUGGGCGCAAGCCUGAUGCAGCCAUGCCGCGUGUGUGAAGAAGGCCUUCGGGUUGUAAAGCACUUUCAGUAAGGAGGAAAGGUUAGUAGUUAAUACCUGCUAGCUGUGACGUUACUUACAGAAGAAGCACCGGCUAACUCCGUGCCAGCAGCCGCGGUAAUACGGAGGGUGCGAGCGUUAAUCGGAAUUACUGGGCGUAAAGCGUACGCAGGCGGUUUGUUAAGCGAGAUGUGAAAGCCCCGGGCUUAACCUGGGAACUGCAUUUCGAACUGGCAAACUAGAGUGUGAUAGAGGGUGGUAGAAUUUCAGGUGUAGCGGUGAAAUGCGUAGAGAUCUGAAGGAAUACCGAUGGCGAAGGCAGCCACCUGGGUCAACACUGACGCUCAUGUACGAAAGCG